AACAAUUGCAGCACUGUGUGUUCAUUAAAAAUGACAAUUGUUGUUAAAGCUCUUCAGCCACUUCUCAAUUCAAAACCGAAUGGCCACAAACAUUUGUUUCAUCUUACUAUAUAGCCUAUUGUUACUGCAACUAUUGAUAGUUAUGGUUAUGUUGGAGCUUCUCACAACUUUUAUAAAUUAACAAUGAAUUGUUAAUUUGAAUCUAAUCCGACCGUUAUUGGAAUAAAAUUAUUUGUCAUUUGAUUUGAUGUAAUUUUGUAAUGUUUGUUUUGAACCGGUAUUCUACGAGUUACUUGAGAACCUAUCACUUAUCUUUACAUAUUUGUUUUCUCAAGUGUAUUUGAAUCAUUCGUGGGUGCACCUUUACAGCGACCUCUUCAUGAACCUGUUCACUAUAUGAUCUCGAGGCUCCAGCGUAAAUUAAAUUGCCUGGCUUAGCGGGGAUCAACUUGGGAAAGUUUCUUAUCAAACGUGUUGUAAAACUGGUGAAAAGAGAGAUGCCACAUAUUUCUAUCUUUGCAACCCUCAGUCCCAUCCCAGAAUUCAUGACAUGACUCUUAUCCAAGUUGGCAUCUCAAACAGUGCUUGCUGAAGGAAACAUGUCACAACCUGGGGCCGAGGGAUCCGCUUCCACAUUCUUUGAGAACAUACUUGAACCCGACGAAGAAGCAGCACUUAUGAGUUUGCCUAAGUAAGCCACAUAUUAUUCUAUCUCAUGGUUUUAUGUUAUAAUAUUUUUUUCCAACUCUGUUGCUAAGUUGUAAAGAAGUUUCAAAAUGCAAUCCUGAAAACUGUUUUAAUACAUGCAUUACAACUAAACAUUUUCCCACUAUGUGGAUAUAUCGUCAUGGCAUGGCCACUAUGAUUCCUAUCGUGUAUUAAGUUCAAAAUAGACAGUUGGUCUCUAAAUAUCUCUUAAUGGUUUGAUC